rnacentral:rRNA from 1 species
GGGUAUGAAAUAUCCAUAGUUGAUGCAUCAGAUGGAUGCCAAGUGAUUGAUAUUAUACCUCCCGGACCAGAACUUCUUGUUUCAGAGGGGGAAUCCAUCAAGCUUGAUCAACCAUUAACAAGCAAUCCUAAUGUGGGAGGUUUUGGCCAGGGGGACGCAGAAAUCGUGCUUCAGGAUCCAUUACGUGUCCAAGGCCUUUUGUUCUUCUUCGCAUCCAUUAUUUUGGCACACGUUUUUUUGGUUCUCAAAAAGAAACAGUUUGAAAAGGUUCAAUUGUACGAAAUGAAUUUCUAG